UACGUAGGGGGCAAGCGUUGUCCGGAUUUACUGGGCGUAAAGGGUGCUCAGGUGGUCUUGUAAGUCAGAGGUGAAAUCCCGGAGCUUAACUCCGGAACUGCCUUUGAUACUACAAGGCUUGAGUAUGGAAGAGGUUGAUGGAAUUUCGGGUGUAGCAGUGAAAUGCGUAGAUAUCCGAAAGAACACCAGUGGCGAAGGCGGUCAACUGGUCCAUUACUGACACUAAAGCACGAAAGCGUGGGUAGCGAACAGG
rnacentral:rRNA from 1 species